rnacentral:rRNA from 1 species
GAGUUUGAUCCUGGCUCAGGAUGAACGCUGGCGGCGUGCUUAACACAUGCAAGUCGAACGGAGAUGUACGCUGAAGAAGCUUCGGUGGAUUCUUGUGCAUCUUAGUGGCGGACGGGUGAGUAACGCGUGGGCGACCUGCCUCACACAGGGGGAUAACAGCCAGAAAUGGCUGCUAAUACCGCAUAAGCGCACAGUGCUGCAUGGCACAGUGUGAAAAACCGAGGUGGUGUGAGAUGGGCCCGCGUCUGAUUAGCUUGUUGGCGGGGUAACGGCCCACCAAGGCAACGAUCAGUAGCCGGCUUGAGAGAGUGGACGGCCACAUUGGAACUGAGACACGGUCCAAACUCCUACGGGAGGCAGCAGUGGGGAAUAUUGCACAAUGGGGGAAACCCUGAUGCAGCGACGCCGCGUGAGUGAAGAAGUAUUUCGGUAUGUAAAGCUCUAUCAGCAGGGAAGAUAAUGACGGUACCUGACUAAGAAGCCCCGGCUAACUACGUGCCAGCAGCCGCGGUAAUACGUAGGGGGCAAGCGUUAUCCGGAUUUACUGGGUGUAAAGGGUGCGUAGGUGGCAUGGCAAGUCAGAAGUGAAAGCCCGGGGCUCAACCCCGCGGACUGCUUUUGAAACUGUCAGGCUGGAGUACA